AGGGAGACAAACAACGAUUUUGAUGUCUGAGUUAUUUAUUCUUAGGCCAAAAUCCUGUCACCUUAGGUCGAUCGGUACCUCAACUUUGAAGCUAAGAGAGUUCCAGCAAUGGUUGUCUGCUUAGUGGAGAUUUUUAGUUCCUAAACUUUGUCUAGUUCACAACCCAUUAGGGAUGAGACUCCUGGGCCAUUAGCUCAGGUGGUUAGAGCGCACCCCUGAUAAGGGUGAGGUCCCUGGUUCAAGUCCAGGAUGGCCCAUUCGGUGUAGGGGGUUUAGCUCAGUUGGUAGAGCGCCUGCUUUGCAAGCAGGAUGUCAGGAGUUCGAGUCUCCUAACCUCCACUGACUACCAAAAUCCCCAUCUCCAAAACCUGGAGUAUGAACUCGUAUGGAUUGUGAUUUAGAUUUGUCCGCUAGAUGACCCUAGCUUCUUGUCAUUUUAAAGCAUGGAAAUGGUUCCAUGAUUUGAUUGAUAGGAUGCUGGGCUCGAUGCAAUGUAUUGAGAGAUCAAUGCAUUGUUUUGAUGUCUAGCCGAACCUUGACAACUGCAUAGUUUAAGUCUGGAAAGAAUAAAGCAUCUUUAUGGAUGCAUCAUUUUUUCGUGUUAACGCAUGAAAGAGUGAUGUUAAUUCUAAAGCAAGAGCCGAGACUCCAGUAUGUUCUUUCAAAUGUGUCGAGCAUUUGAGAGUUUGAUUUUAAUUUCUAAUUUUAGAUUCUAAUUUUAGAAAUUAGAAAAAUCUGUUUCAACAACAGCAAGCGUGCUGGAGAUACAUU
rnacentral:tRNA from 1 species